rnacentral:rRNA from 1 species
AGCGAACGCUGGCGGCAGGCCUAACACAUGCAAGUCGAACGAACUCUUCGGAGUUAGUGGCGGAGGGGGGAGUAACACGUGGGAACGUGCCUGUAGGUUCGGAAUCACUCAGGGAAACUUGUGCUAAUAACGAUGGGGCCCUUAGGGGGAAAGAGUUAUCGCCUUGAGAGCGGCCCGGGUAUGUUUAGCUGGUUGGUGAGGGAAAGGCGCGUCAAGGCGAGGAUGAGGGGCUGGUCGGAGACGAGGACAAGCUAGAUUGGGACUGAGACACGGCCCAAACCCCUACGGGAGGGAGGAGAGGAGAAUCUUGCGCAAGGGGGCAAAGCCUGACACAGCCGUGCCGGGGGAAUGGGGAAGGGCGUAGGAAUGUAAAAUUCUUUCACCCGGGGCGAGAAUGACGGUACCCGGAGAAGAAGCCCCGGCUAACUUCGUG